ensembl:snRNA LOC120096862 U4 spliceosomal RNA
AGCUUUGCGCAGUGGUAGCAUUGUAGCCAAUGAGGUUUAUCCGAGGAGUGAUUAUUGCUAAUUGAAAUGUAAGUAGAUGUUUGUUAAUAUCCUCAUCUAGAUGUAUUUCCUGAUAGUGUUCCAGUU